UUGGGCACCUUCACAAAGUGGCCGGCUGACGAGACGGCCCCACAAGUCAGUGGAACAUACUGGCCCACUAUCUCUCCCCCCUCCGAUCUCUCGAGUUCAAAACGCUCGCCGGCGACAAGCUCGCCGGCUAGGGUUUCGUGCCCCUGCAAGGGCGGAGCCCCAUGAGCGCAUCCGGCUUCGGCCGCGACGCCGGCCCCGUCAACCGGGGCCC
rnacentral:lncRNA from 1 species